GGAGGCUCAGCGGUAGAGCGCGUGCUUGGCACGCGUGAGGUCCUGGGUUCAAUCCUCAGUACCUCCU
rnacentral:tRNA from 1 species